GGAGUAGGAGAGGAGCAGGGGGAGGGAAGGGAGGAAAGCGAAGAAAGCGGGGAGUGGAGGUGGUGCGCGAGCUAGGCCCAAGCAGGGUCGCGCGCGCACUCCCGCCUUCCCUCCCGCGCUUUCCCACCCUCCUUUGAGGGAAGCCAGAAAAAUGGGCAAUGAGCUGUUGCUGCCGCUGCUGCCGCGCCUUCUGCCUUUCCCUAGAGAAGUCUUGUUUGGGAGAAGAACAUGUUUUAAGGUAUCCCCUAGAUUUCUCUCAAAGAAGCAGAAACAUGCCUAAAAUAGGUCUCCAUUCCAUAGAUUAGGAAGAUCCCUUUACCUGUGGCAAGCCAGAUUGUCACAAGUCCUUACACCUUGCUGCCAAAAGUGGGUGUCUCCUUAACCACUCCCAUCUUAGCCCAGAAAAAUUACUUAUUUUUCUUUGAAUUGUUUUAAGAAUUUCACCUUUUGUUCACCAGCACUACCACUGCCCCUUUGAAGCCUACCUAAAUUUAGACACCAAAAAGGGCAGUUUCUUUCUCCCUAGAGUGUCCCAUAAAACAGGAAACACAUAGCUUUGUUGGAAUUUAGAAAAGGAAACGGUGGGGUGAUGUCAGCAGUGAUUAGUUUAACCCUACAAGGAUGAAUGCGGGUGGUGAUUAGACCUGACCAAAGAAGGAGUUGAGUAAGAGACUUAGAAAACUGAUGGAGAAAGCGUUAAUAAUGGAGAUAAAAAUUUAAAGUGUCAGUGCAUUUUUCUCCAGAGGGGAGGUUGUUAAACAUUUAUCAGCAUAUCCUCGGUUGAGAACCCAAGGUCACCUCCAAGCCAAAAUAAGGAAAUAACAAAAUGGAUGGUUUCUGAGGAAAGCUGGAAGACUUCCAUGAACUAAUUUAGAGAGAAGAAAGUAGAAUUAGGAGAACAAUUUAUACCAAAACAGCUUUAUAAAGAAGAAAAUUUGGAAAGACUUUGGAACUUUGAUCAAUGAAAUGACAAGCUACAAACCAAAGGAAUGAAGAUGAAAUAUACCAUUCACCUACUGAACGAGAAGUGAUCAACUUAAAAUGCAGAAAUAUGUUUUAGGACAUGGUCAAUGUAGGGAUUCAUUUUGUUGGACUUUGCAAAAAGGUUUUGUUUUGUUUUUGAUUGGGGUGGAAGGAGGUGGAGAUGUAGAAUGGACAAAUUAUUUAAAAUACCCAUAUAAAA